ensembl:lncRNA
CAUCUUUUACACUCACAUAAGCGGUCUUCGUUGCCAAUAGAAGCAGUUCAAGGUCAUACUGACGAAAGUCAGUAUGGCAGAACAAGGCUUCACAUGGCAGGAGGUCUUGGACAUCAAGCUUUUGCAGGAGAGAAUUUGGCUGGAGGAGAGAAUGGAAGAGGUGCGAUGUCUCAUAGAUAAAGAGGUGGAAUGGAAGAUGAUGACUAUUCAUGAAGAAUGGGAGCUGGAGGAGAAGAAAAGGACAGAGGAAGAAGAUAUGGGGCAAGAAGACCAGGGAGUAGCGGGAAAUACUGAGGGUAGGAAGUUCACAACAUAGUGGUGUUCAUAGCUGUGAUCCACACUUCAGACAUGCAACUGCUCAAUGUCACUGUAUUCUGGAAACAGAUAGCCAUGCAGUAAAUAGCCAGACUGUGUUAUUCAUAACUUAUCCAUUGCAGUCAUGUAUUCAUCUAAUGGAAACUCACAAUAAAACACCUAUUCUGUAUCCGAAUAAUGUUUGAGUACUAUCAUCUUAG